CCCGCCACGCUUAGCGCGUGGGGAGACAGUGUCAGGUGGGCAGUUUGACUGGGGCGGUCGCCUCCUAAAGAGUAACGGAGGCGCCCAAAGGUUCCCUCAGAAUGGAUGGAAAUCAUUCGUAGAGUGUAAAGGCACAAGGGAGCUUGACUGCGAGACUGACAAGUCGAGCAGGGACGAAAGUCGGGCUUAGUGAUCCGGUGGUUCCGCAUGGAAGGGCCAUCGCUCAACGGAUAAAAGCUACCCCGGG
rnacentral:rRNA from 1 species